rnacentral:rRNA from 1 species
AGAGUUUGAUCAUGGCUCAGAACGAACGUUGGCGGCGUGGAUUAGGCAUGCAAGUCGAACGAAUCCCCGUGGGGGUAACUCUGCGGGGGGAAGUGGCGAAAGGGGCAGUAAAGCGUGGAUAACCUGCCCCCGAGACGGGGAUAGCCCUUCUAACGAGGGGGUAAUACCCGGAGACCUGGCGAGGAGGCAUCUUCUUGCCAGCAAAGGAGUUUCGCUCGGGGAGGGGUUCACGUGCUAUUAGCUGGUUGGCGGGGUAACGGCCCACCAAGGCGUAGAUGGCUAGCGGGUGUGAGAGCACGACCCGCGCCACUGGCACUGAGACACUGGCCAGACUCCUACGGGAGGCUGCAGUCGAGGAUCUUCGGCAAUGGGCGCAAGCCUGACCGAGCGACGCCGCGUGCGCGAUGAAGGCCUUCGGGUUGUAAAGCGCUGUCGAGGGGGAGGAAAGUCCGCAAGGACCUGACCUAUCCCUGGAGGAAGCACGGGCUAAGUUCGUGCCAGCAGCCGCGGUAAGACGAACCGUGCGAACGUUGUUCGGAAUCACUGGGCUUAAAGGGCGCGUAGGCGGACUCUCCAGUCGGGAGUGAAAUCGCUCGGCCCAACCGAGCAAGGGCUUCCGAUACUGAGAGUCUCGAGGGAGGUAGGGGUCGAGGGAACUGGUGGUGGAGCGGUGAAAUGCGUAGAUAUCACUAGGAACGCC